rnacentral:rRNA from 1 species
UUUGAAAUUUAUUAAUAAAGAGUCUAACCUGCCCGGUGAUAAUUAUUAAACGGCCGCAGCUAUAGCUGUGCGAAGGUAGCGCGAUAGCAAGUCCUUUAAUUGGGGAAUGGAAUGAAUGGUUGGACGUAUAUUAACUGUCUUUUAAAAAUAAAAUGAAAUUUCUUUUUAAGUGAAAAGGCUUAAAUUUUUGUAAAAGACGAGAAGACCCUGUCGAGCUUAAUUAGUAUAAAUUAUAACUAAUUUAUUGAAAUUUUGUUGGGGCAAUAUAAAUUUAUAAAACAGUAUAAUUAAUAUUAAUAAGGAUCCUCUUUGAGAGAUAACUAGCAAAAGUUACCGCAGGGAUAACAGCGUUAUCUUUCCUAAAAGAUCAUAUUAAGGGAAAGGUUUGCGACCUCGAUGUUGGAUUAUAGAAACAUUGUGGUGUAGCCGCUACAAUAGUGAAACUGUUCGUUUUUUAAU